UAGGGAAUAUUAGAAAUGGACGAAAGUCUGAUCUAGCAACACCGCGUGUGCGAAGAAGGCCUUCGGGUCGUAAAGCACUUUUUGGAAGGAAUAGGAAGGAAUGUACUUCCAGAAUAAGUCUCGGCUAACUACGUGCCAGCAGCCGCGGUAACACGUAGGAGGCAAACGUUAUCCGGAUUUACUGGGCGUAAAGCGCGUGUAGGUGGUACUGUAAGUAGGGCGUGAAAGCUCCCGGCUCAACUGGGAGAGGCCGUUCUAAACCGCAGAGCUAGAGGAUGGUAGAGGGAGGUGGAAUUCCGGGUGUAGCGGUGGAAUGCGCAGAUAUCCGGAGGAACACCAGUGGCGAAAGCGGCCUCCUGGACCAUUCCUGACACUCAGACGCGAAAGCUAGGGUAGCAAACG
rnacentral:rRNA from 1 species